UACGUAGGGGGCAAGCGUUGUCCGGAAUCACUGGGCGUAAAGCGCGCGCAGGCGGUUUCUCACGUCCGGGGUGAAAGCCCAGAGCUCAACUCUGGAAUGGCCUUUGAGACUAGAGAACUAGGGUACGGGAGAGGUGAGUGGAAUUCCGAGUGUAGAGGUGAAAUUCGUAGAUAUUCGGAAGAACACCAGUGGCGAAGGCGGCUCACUGGCCCGUUACCGACGCUCAGGCGCGACAGCGUGGGGAGCAAACAGG
rnacentral:rRNA from 1 species